ACACGGACGGACGGACACGACACACACACCUUAGCACUGGAAACGUUUGCAGAUAAGAUGGAUCAAGAGAAAAAUCUGAUUUGUCAUCAUUUGUAGCUCUCUGCACGACCUGCUCUUCAAUCAGUUAUAAGAGGAACCACGAGGGGGCAAUGUCUUCCUGAGCAAUGGCCGAGUGGUGGGCUUCGAUGGCCCAGCCUUUUACCCUCCUUGACUAUUCUUGCCUGUUACUGAAUAUACUCCACAGGGAGACAUUGUUUUGCUGGAGCCUGAGAUCCACCUGCCUCUACCUCCCGAGAUCUGGGAUCAAAGGUGCGCGCUACCACCUCCAGGCUUUUUAAGGUUCUGUAUAAGUGUACAUUGGAAUAGAGACUGUUCAUAAGGAGACUGUUCAACUUCAGAAUCCAUCUCUACAGCCAAGAAGAAUCUGCAAUUAUUGGCUGAUUCCAAAGGGAAAGCUGACUCAGAGGACAGAGCAAAGAACCACUGAGAAUCAUUCCUAAGAGCAGGAGUGGCCUGACUGAUAUUAUUGCACCGGCUCCACUGCAGAAUUCCUGGGGGCUAGUUUCUUCCACGCACCUCCCACUUUCUCCCCUGACUCCCCAGUCCCCUUGUUGAGGCAGAAUCUCACUAUAUAUAGUUGAAGCUAUCCUCAAACUCACAGUCCUGCUACCUAAGGUUCUCAAGUGCAGAGAUUACAAACAUGAUGUGAGAUUCUCCUCUGUAUGCUGUGAAUGCCAUUGGUUAAUAAAGAAUCUGCUUUGGGCCUAUUGCAGCGCAGAAUAGGGCAAGACAGGAAUUCCAAGCAGAUAGAGGAGGAGAGAGCAGGCUGAGUCAAAGAGACGCCAUGUAGCCAUCAAAGGAGAAUGGCACCCUUGGGAGUCCCAAUGGGUCAAUUUAAGAUACAAGAGCUAGCUAGCAAUACACCCAAAUGAUUGGUCAAGCAGUGUUUUAAUUAAUACAGUUUCUGUGUGAUUAUUUCCGGUCUGGGUGACCCGGAACAAACAAGCAGUCUCCCACCUACACAAACAUGCAUCACUACAUGCAUUGCUACAUAUGCUAUGACAUGCUUCACUGCAUGCAUCAUUCACAUGCAUGAACCACAUGCCCAACUCAUCUUUCUUUCUUUCUUUUUUUCUUUCUUUCUUUCUUUUUUGCAGUAAAGUUUCUAUUAAGUGUUUUCCAUCCUUAAUGUUUUGGUGCUAAAUGUAUAGAGACCAGGCAUUUUGUCUUUUUAGUUCCCAGUCACCCUUCCAGUCAAGCAAUCUGAUAACAUGUGGGCUCCUUCCCUGAGCUCCUGCAUCUGCAGCCAGAGAUCUUGGGCAUAGUUCACAGGGCUGAGUCAGGAGCCAUGCUUAUGCUUGAACCUGACUUAGCUGAUGCUAUUUUUAGACCAGGGAUUGGUGAAAUCUUCUGGGUAAUAAGAGUGAAUAAUUUUAGGCUUCACGGGACAUAUGUGCAACGCCUGUUACAAAACAGCGCAAAAGAAACCUUGGCAGGUCCCAUGGCGGGUGAGAAUCAUGGCGGGUGACAAAUACGCCAUUCAGGCAGAGUUCAAGUGUGGAGUUUAUUGAGAUAAAGGAAAUGAAAAGGGAAGAGAAAAUGAGAGGCAGACAGAAAGAGGGAGACAGAAAGCUGCUGCCUCGGAGAGAACGGCAGGAAGAAAGAUAGAAAGGAGACAGAGAAAAGAGAAGAAGCAGGAAAAGGCCUGCAUACCCAUUCAGAGGAACAGCGGGAAAGAGAGACUGGGAGUGGGCGGUCUCUUAAAGGGACCUUUGCAUCUGCCUACAAAGUAGGACCCUGGGCUGGCCAGCGUACUGCCUGGGUACAUCUUGUCAGAUGACAGGGCAGGCCAGCAUAAUGCCUGAAUCCUAACAACGUCUGUCAUACAGUCUUUGUUUUUAUAAUCCUUUAACAAAUAUAAAAAUCAUUCUUAUCCCAAGGGUUAUAUAAAAAUAAGCCACAGGAUGUACUUGGCUCUUGAGCUGUGGUUUCAUCAUUCCUGGCAGAGAUUAAAAACUGAUUUAUGGUGGGGGAGUGCCGAAGAGAUAGCUCAGUGUAUAAAAGCGUUGCUGCUUUUCCCGAGGACCUAGGUUUAAUUCCCAGCACCCAUAUGGCAGCUGAUAACUGUAACU